rnacentral:lncRNA from 1 species
AGGCCAGAAGGGGCUGCCAACAUCUGCUUCCCAUUACCCGGGGGAGGGACUUCACCACCAGCCGCUGGUAACAGGAGACCCUGGCCUCUGAUUUAUGGCCCAUUUGGAAGGAGGCCUCGGAGCAAUUACUUGUUGGAUUGAGCCAGGCGAGGGGCUAGAGCUUUGCAAAGCGGAAAGCAGCCCCUGGCUGGCAGCGCUUUCUCCCCAGGAAGACAGGGACUAUCCACUCAGGAUCCAACAUAUCAGAGGAGGACUCCAGGAAGUCAUUCUACCACCUCUGCCUCCCUGCUGACGAAUCCGAUAUUUGGUUGAACAUUCCUACUUCAAAAUUCCAAAAUCUGAAGCAGUCCAAAAUCUGAAACUUUUGGGGCACUGACAUGAAGCCACAAAUAGAAAAUUCCACAUGUCUGGCAGUGUGUCUCACAGCUACCAGAAGCUUGAAGUGGUGCUGAACAUGCAUAAUGUGCUGAGACGUCUGCAGCAACUGUCCUUCCAUAGACUCCUUGGAUUUCGUGGUCCCAGGCUGAGAAAGCUUGGGGUAGAGAAAUAGGGCUGAGGGCAAAUCGCUGGCUGCAGCCGUGCUGUGGAAGCAAUGUGCCAGAAACCCUGACAAUGAACCGCUGUCUCUGACUAAUUGUUCUAGUGGAGAUGUCUCCUGUUUGACUUGAUUUUAAACUGUGGAGCACGUCAAGAGAAAGCUCACUGAUCUGCCGAGGGUUUGUGCUUUUCUGUCUUCAUGCAUCUGUUGUGGGUGAAGAGAGCAAAGAUUCUUCAUUCAAUCAAAGGCCCCCUUUGGAGAUGCUGAGAAGGAAAUUUCCUUUGGAAAUUCCCAAAGGAAUUGGGCUGUCUCUCUCUCUUUCUCUGGUUGCAUUUCACCAGCUAAGGAGUUGCAUUGGCUUCUGCUCUCCUCUCUUGCUCACCUACAUUGUGAGGUAAGAUCUGAGUUGCAGGUUUGCUUUG